CCCCCGCGGCGCCUGAGCGGCUGCUGCGCCGGCGCUCAAGAGGCAUGCUCGGACCGGGGAGGGUAGAUGAGGUUUUCUCUAUCGCCAGCGUUACAGGAGUUGAACUCUUUCCGCGGUUUCUUUUAAUUGUGAGCGGAGUAAUCUGGCGCUGGGGAGCCCAAAGGAACCUCAAGGGGGGAAGGAAGAGGGCGGGAGGAUGCUGAAGUCGGGCCGUUCCCGCAACUUCCAGCCCGAACGCUCCCCUGACUCAUCGCCGGAGAAGGCUGCUUCGCAGACGCUGGUGGUGAAUUGCAGGUCAGCUUGUUAAUUUGUCCGAUGGGGAGUAAGGCUGGAAAUAUUUAUAAAACCAUUUGCUUUCCCUCUGGAGGGAGAUAAGAGUAAAUAUGAAUCAUUCUUUUAAAAAAGUUGGAGAAGCGCUUUGUGCCAAGAGCAAGCGUGCAAAGUUUUAAAAGUAAGAAGCUCGCAGGAAACUUCAAGAGGAUUUUCUAAGAGCUUGCAACCUCUUCCAAGCAGGAGAAGAAAAAAAAAAAAUUUCUACCUAUGCGUGAGGCUUGUGUAACAAGCUCUCAAUUGUGAAUGGGAUUCCUAGGCGGAGUUGCAAUAAACCAAUUAAUAGUAUCAUUCAUAGUAUCAGACCUCACUCACAUGUUUACUAUAAGCAAAGAAGAGUACACGGGCAGGAGCGUGGUGGUUGCGUCUUCAAACAGGGGGCAGUUACAGCUGGCGUGCACACCGACGGGCAGUGCAAGUGGUUUUAAAAAAAAAAAAAAAGUACCGAUUGCAAAUGCCAACGCAAAAAAUACUUUCUUGGCAGGUGAUUAACGGACGCAUGGGGCGAGAAGCGAAAGGCAGCACAAGAAAAACGUCUCGGAAGGAGCUGCUCAGGUCUGCAGCGAGGAAAAAGCGAGGCAAAGAUCUCGACGCUUUUGAGGAAACGCUUCCAGGGCGCUUCGGCUCUUGUCCUGCGGCUGCCGGGGCCCCCCGCCACCGGGGGCACCUCGACCGGACCAGGAGCAAACGAAGAGCCACGCGGCCCCCGGGGGGAGAUGUUUACCCUCCUGGAAAGCUAAAAUGUUUUCUGCGCUUGCAACAUAAAAACCCAGGAGGGAUUAUUGUCACUGGAGAUAAUGUUACAGCCGGAGCCGGGUGACGCUUAAGAACUUGGUCAGCCCCUGCGCCUUGCCAAAAUAGCGGUGAGCAAAGGUAGCGGGUGCUAAGAGCAGGCAGGGCUCGCACAAAGUGCCCCCGCCGGCAGCGUUUCCGAGAGCUUUUUUCUCUGCCCGGUUGUCGUUAAGAGUUGCACAGUUCAUGCCAUUUUUAAAUAAUUAUUCUUAACCGUUAAAAAACCCGGCUGCGCUAAGAUAAUCUUUAGCUAAUGCGGUGUUACGCUUUGCGGCCUCGCAUAUGCAGCGUUACGCUUUGCGGCCUCGUGUGAUGCUCAGUCUUUCUCGGGUGGCCGUUGGAAGAAGUCAAAUUCAUGUAUUUUGACACCCCGCCUGUGAUAAAGAUACCGGGAUGGCUUAAGCCUCUACAAAGCUGCGGUGCUCGUACGUCGUUUAUCUUAAAAUCCUGUUGUAGCUCUCGCGAAACGUGAUUUGUUCAGUGUGCGGAAAUUUAUGCUGCCAGAGGUGUUUCGAAGCAAGGAAACAAAGUGGGAAAGAGACUCGGUUCCUAUAUUCACGGACUUGGGUUUGUUUUUCAGCCCGGCGUUGUUUCGAGGCAGGUUGCAGAGCCCGGAUACAACGAACGUGACUCUUUCGCAGUGCUUUAAAGCGCAACGGCCGUUACCUGCGGUGCGUGGUGAGGCCUCGGGACGGGCUGCAAGCUGGUUUACCAGCUGCAGCUUGCGUCUCGGUUACUAAAGCAGCUGUUGCUUAUAGAAAAUCCCUCCUAAAGCAACUCCGGGCACCUCGGCCUCUACCUACCAAUUUCAAAAUGCGUAAGUAAGAAAAAAAGCUGUUUGUAUGAAUAACCCUGAGUAAAUAAAUUGUCGCUUUAACUACGUUGUAUCGUAAUG
rnacentral:lncRNA from 1 species